AUCAGUUUAGGUGGAGAGGCGUCCUGCUGCUUUGUUGGGGCAUCGUGUGUCGAUGGAGGCACCUGUUAAGUCAACAUAGGAGCCACGGCUGCUGUAAUCUCCGCUGUUCAAUUAGCUGCAGUGACCGGGACGCCACCUACACUUCAUUACCAGGGAGGGGAAGGUGUCACAUGCAGCCAGCAGGAGUAAAGAGACGAGAGUAAAACAGCUCGCUGUCAGAAGUGAGACACAUUUCUAGGUGAAGCAUACUGAAUUCAAGUGAAUCAAGCUGAACUGAUCUGAACUGGAAUGGCCUGAGCUGAACUGAAAGGAAAGCUUCAGCCUGACAGGACUAAUUGAUGCCUGUUGUUUCCUGGGGGGGUUCCUUGAUAUAUUUAUUCUGCUGUUCACUCUUAUGUCAUGUUGUGUGACGUGAAAUAAACCAAAAAUAAGUUUGACUCAUUGAGAUCUUUUCAUUGAGUACAAUUUAUCACAGAAUAUGAAAUUACAUUAAAGUUGUCACUCCCUUCUCAGAGAGUUUGUUUUCGUUGUUUGUUUCUGUUGCUAUGUUACUAUGUCUAAAUAACUCAUGGAGGGAUCAUAAUGGAAUACAAAUCUUAAAAGGGUUAGUUCACACCAAAACUAAAAACCCAUAAGUUUCCUCGUACCUGUAGUGCUUUUUAUAAAUCUAAAUUGUUUUGGUGUGAGGUGCAGAGAUUCAACAUAAUUAAAUGACCUGAACUGGAAUGCCUCUUCCCAGAAAUCAUGAGCAGUAAUCCACAGACUUCGUUGUAAGCAGUUUCAUGUAGGAAAAAUGUUCUCUCUACAACAUCAGCAACAAUAUCAAUGCAAAGAAGGAAGAGUGCAUCUUUACAUGGACGAGAAACUGUCCGGCGCUGGUUACAUCUCAGCUGAAGAAGACGCCAUCUUGUUUACAUUUUGCCCUCUUUCUCUGCUCCAGAAAUACUGUUUCUGUUCCAACUUUAUUUUGUUAUAAGUUUGGGGAAGUCAAGCACUUCCUCGCUUCGUCUUCUUAAUGUAGCUUUUGUCUGUUAUGAUCAGUUAGAUGGUUGGUUUUUUCAACAUCUUUGAGGAUGUUGACAUAUGUCAACCAGAAUUUAGGUAUUGUAAUAUUGAUAUGUAAACCAGCUUGAAGUGUUUAUAUCAAGUGUUCCCAAUCAUUGGAACCUCAUAGAUGCUUCAACAUGUAUUUGUAUAAUAAUAUGCCAUUUUGUAUUGUAAAAAAACAGUAUGAUAAUGUGCAGAUAUGUAUCACCUCAAUCUGGAAUUUGGCCAAAGUGAGUGGCCAAAAAAUAUAUAUAUAGAUGUUAUUGCAUAUU